rnacentral:lncRNA from 1 species
GGUCGUGUCAGGCGCCGGGGCCGGCGAUGCUCGGAUGCUAAUGAAGCCGUUAUCAUCUUCCGAUCGAUCGGGACUGUAUAAAUAAUGCACCGGGAAGCUCCUUGUGCAGGGAAAGGGAUUGCCUGGGGCUAAGAGGUGCCUGGGAUGGGAUGGAGCCAUCGCAGAGCAGUGCUCAGCACAGCUGGAUAACUGCUGCCCACCACAGCUGGACACCCCGGUGUCCAUCACAGCUGGAUAUCUGCUGCCCGUCACAGCUGGACAUCCCGAUGUCCAUCACAGCUGGAUAUCUGCUGCCCGUCACAGCUGGACAUCCCGAUGUCCAUCACAACUGGAUAUCUGCUGCCCACCACAGCUGGACACAGCUGGAUAUCCUCUGCCCGUCACAGCUGGACGUACACCUCUCACUGUAGCUGGACCUCCCAGUGUCCACCACAGCUGGAUAACAGCUGCCCAUCACAGCUGCACACCCACAGCUGUGUGCCCCCGUGCCCGUCACCAGCCAUUCCCCACAUCCCAAGGCAGUUUAGGGGAUGCCCAGCACAGGUACAGGUGCUCCGGAUGCCCGUCCCUGGCACGGCCUUCUUCAGGGAGUGGCGAAUCCGCACUGGAGGCUGGCUGGGCUCUGGCAGCCUGAGUCACUCGCAGCGCUGUCCCCCGGGGCUGCAGGAAGCAGCUGAAAUGCAGCUUUCAAGAGGCAGCGGGGACUCCACUGCGAUGCUUUUAUUUUUACAAAAGGGAAACUUUUCAGUCCCACGGGAUGGCGCGGGGCUGAGCCUGGGGGCAGGCGGGGACAGGGGGCACGGAUGUUCCCAGGGCAGAGCUGACCCACCAGGGCUGGAGCUGCCCAGGGGACCCAGCAGCCAGCAGCAGCUCCCGUGGAGAUCCCCGCUGUCUCCCUGGAUUCCCAAGUCCUAUCCUCGCCUGACCUUUGCCGUGUGGUACCGUGCAGCCAGGCCAAGCCACGCUGCAUCAGCCGGACCCCUCUGGGGCAGUGCCAGCCCCCCGAGUAGCACACCGGGCUCUGCUGAGCGGGGGCUCCCUGCUGACUCUGCCCAGGGCACCCAGGAACGCGGGGAAGGGCAGCAGGGACGGGCAGGAGCUGCACAGGCAGGGAUGCGCUGCCUGUCCCCACGGGUGGGACAUGAGGGGCCGUGCCAGCUCCGUGGGACCAGCACCGAGCGUGGCAGCCGCCCGCCGUGCCCGGUGCCAGCCGCACGCCCACUCUCGUCUCCGCGGAAAUGAAUGUUGGUGUCGCUUACAGG